rnacentral:rRNA from 1 species
UGGGGAAUAUUGCACAAUGGGGGAAACCCUGAUGCAGCAACGCCGCGUGAAGGAAGACGGUUUUCGGAUUGUAAACUUCUGUUCUUAGUGAAGAAUAAUGACGGUAGCUAAGGAGCAAGCCACGGCUAACUACGUGCCAGCAGCCGCGAUAAUACGUAGGUGGCAAGCGUUGUCCGGAAUUACUGGGUGUAAAGGGAGCGCAGGCGGGAGACCAAGUCAGCUGUGAAAACUACGGGCUUAACCUGUAGACUGCAGUUGAAACUGGUUUUCUUGAGUGAAGUAGAGGUUGGCGGAAUUCCGAGUGUAGCGGUGAAAUGCGUAGAUAUUCGGAGGAACACCGGUGGCGAAGGCGGCCAACUGGGCUUUAACUGACGCUGAGGCUCGAAAGUGUGGGGAGCAAACAGGAUUAGAUACCC